GCGCUGACGGCUGCGGCGCCCGCGGCUCCCCAGUGCCCCGAGUGCCCCGCGUGCCCCGCGAGCGGGAGUGGGACCCAGCCCUAGGCAGAACCCAGGCGCCGCGCCCGGGACGCCAGCGGAGAGAGCCACUCCCGCCCACGUCCCAUUUCGCCCCUCGCGUCCGGAGUCCCCGUGGCCAGGGUUUCACUUCCAUCGCCCAGGCUGGAGUGCAAUGGCGUGAUCUGGGCUCACUGCAACCUCCACCUCCCAGGCUCAAAUGAUUCUCCUGCCUCAGCCUCCUGAGUAGAGUAGCUGGGACCACAGUCGCAUGCCAUGGUGCUCGGCUAAUUUUUUUGUAUUUUAUUUUUGUAACGACAGGGUCUCAUUAUGUUGCCCAGGCUGGUCUCAAACUUCUGAGCUCAAAUGAUCUGGCUGCGUCAGCCUCCCAAAGUGCUGGGAUUAUAGGCAUGGGCCACUGUGCCUGGCCUCAUCUUUUCAUUUUAAAGAAUAUAUCAGCAGGGAUUAUUGGACCUGCCUGGUUUAAACUAUUGUCUUAGUUAAUUUUGUGCUGCUCUAACAAAAUAUCACAGACUGAGUAAUUUAUAAGCAAUAGUAGCUUAUUUGGCUCACAGUUCUGGAGGCUGAGAAGAUCGUGAGGCUGCAUCUGGCAAGGGCCUUCUUGCUGCUUCAUAACAUGGCAGAAGACAUCACGUGGGUGUGUGUCUGGGGAAGAGACUUACAGAAGUGGAGUUGCUGAGUCAAGGAUCUAACCAUGAGCUACCCUGGCUAUCCCCCGCCCC
rnacentral:sRNA from 1 species